GUGGGGAAUAUUGGACAAUGGGGGGAACCCUGAUCCAGCCAUGCCGCGUGUGUGAAGAAGGCCUUUUGGUUGUAAAGCACUUUAAGCGAGGAGGAGGCUACCGAGAUUAAUACUCUUGGAUAGUGGACGUUACUCGCAGAAUAAGCACCGGCUAACUCUGUGCCAGCAGCCGCGGUAAUACAGAGGGUGCAAGCGUUAAUCGGAUUUACUGGGCGUAAAGCGCGCGUAGGUGGCCAAUUAAGUCAAAUGUGAAAUCCCCGAGCUUAACUUGGGAAUUGCAUGCGAUACUGGUUGGCUAGAGUAUGGGAGAGGAUGGUAGAAUUCCAGGUGUAGCGGUGAAAUGCGUAGAGAUCUGGAGGAAUACCGAUGGCGAAGGCAGCCAUCUGGCCUAAUACUGACACUGAGGUGCGAAAGCAUGGGGAGCAAACAGGAUUAGAAACCCCAGUAGUCC
rnacentral:rRNA from 1 species